AAACGUUUGACACCAGUUAUGCGGGUGGAAAAUCAGUCUUUUGCAAUGGGGAGUUGUGGGCGUUCAGACCGCAAGGCUGGCGUUUGCUUCAUCUUUGUUGUAAGUGAUGCACUUUUUCAUUUGCAGGUCAACAUCAGUUUGCUUUGCUGGACAAAACCCCAAGGGAAGGUGGCAGCUUAGGCUGUGUUAUAGCCCUGGGGCGAUACAGUGGAGUGGACUGAGGUUUCGCAGUGUGUGCUCUCGGGCAAGGCUGACUGGGUGCUAUGGGAUCGUUCGGCGUACAAUGCAUGCAUUUUGCGUCGUGUCUUUUUCAUACUCGCUCAACUCGGCUCUUCCACACUUAGGAUGUUGACUUAAUGGUUUUAAACGA
rnacentral:rRNA from 2 species